AAUGAACGCUGGCGGCGUGCUUUACACAUGCAAGUCGAGCGAGGCCAGGUAGCAAUACCUGAGUCGAGCGGCGCACGGGUGAGUAACGCGUGGAUGACCUGCCUGAGGGUGGGGGAUAACCCGGGGAAACUCGGGCUAAUACCGCAUAAAACCGAGAGGUCAAAGGGGCUCGCAAGGGCUCUCGCCUGCAGAGGGGUCCGCGUCCGAUUAGCUAGUUGGCAGGGUAAUGGCCUACCAAGGCGACGAUCGGUAGCCGGCCUGAGAGGGUGAUCGGCCACACUGGAACUGAGACACGGUCCAGACUCCUACGGGAGGCUG
rnacentral:rRNA from 1 species